AGACCUCCGAAUCAUGGCAUCUCACCUUUUGCUGCUGCCUGUCUCUCACAAUUGCUUGAGGAACACUCAGUAUCUGAUUCCUUUCCUGCGCUCGCCUUUUCCCCUCGGGCUUCCGAUAAAUAAAAUUCAAGAUCCGAAGCUUCCUCAAUCUCUUCCCUCUGUAACCCUCCUCUCAUUUUUAUCAAAUGUUUUGUACAGUUGUGUUCAGAUAUGAAAGUUGAGGAACGAAUAUCUUUUUUCGUAAAUUGGUGAAUUAAAGAAUGCUUUUCCCGUGAAACAUAUAUAUAUAAAAGACGCCUGAGUCAUUUUAGUUUCAGGUAGGCUACCUGGCAUCUCCCCUUUUCCUGCUGUCCGUCUGUCACAAUUGUUGCCUGAGGAACACUCAGUGUCUGAUUCCCUUCCUGCCUUCUUCCUCUUCUUCCCCUCAGGACCUCAACAUAUACUCUGCUCCUUUUCCAUUUGCUUCCAAGAAGUAAAAUCCAUAAUCCAAAGCUUUCUCAAUCUCUUCCCUCUGUAACCUUUUUCUCAUUUAUUUAUUUUUUUUAUAUCAACUAUUUCUCAUUCUUCACCUGUAAUCACUCUCUUUUAAUUUCCAUAAAAAAGAAAAAAAGGAAAAUCUGCUGCCUCCCACAAACUCUGCUCCUUCCAUACCUCAAACCUUCCAUUUCUUCUGCCACAACAGAUUCGAUCAAAUACCAAUCUUUCGUGUAUUUUCCUUCUCCUUCUCCUUCUCCUGCUGUUGUUUCCCUUUUCCUUAUCUGUUUUCGCUCAAUUCCCAUCUAUUUCUAGAAAAAAGAAGUUGGAAAUGGUUGAAAUUGUUAUUUCCGUUGCAGCAAAAGUUGCAGAGUACCUGGUUGAUUCAAUUAUACGUCCACUGGGUUAUCUGGUUAACUACCAUCGCAACAUUACGGAUCUCAACCAACGAAUUGACAGUCUCCAUCUUGCAAGGGAGAGGCUGCAGGUACCUGUGGAUGAGGCUAAUAGGCAAGGGGAUGAAAUCUUUCCUGGUGUUCAGGAGUGGCAGACGUAUGCCGAAGGGAUCAUCCAAAAGAGAAACGAUUUCAAUGAAGAUGAAAGGAAAGCAAGCAAGAGCUGUUUCUAUUUAAAGUCCCGCUACCAACUAAGCAAGCAAGCAGAGAAGCAGGCUGCGGAGAUUGUUGAUAAAAUCCAAGAAGCUCAUAACUUUGGUGACAGAGUAUCGUAUCGCCCUCCUCCUCCUCCUCCUCCAUUCAUCAGCUCUGCAUCUUUCAAAGAUUAUGGGGCUUUCCAGUCAAGAGAGUCUACUUUUAACCAAAUUAUGGAGGCCUUGAGAAACGAAGAUAUGCGCAUGAUCGGUGUCUGGGGAAUGGGCGGCGUGGGCAAAACCACUCUUGUCAAACAAGUAGCCCAACAAGCGGAGGAAGACAAGCUCUUUCACAAGGUGGUCAUGGUGUUACACAUAUCCCAAACUCCCAACAUCGCAGAAAUUCAAGAAAAAAUUGCAAGAAUGUUGGGUUUGAAAUUUGAGGUGAAGGAGGAUAGAGCAGGUCGCCUGAGGCAAAGGUUGAAGAGAGAGGAGAAAAUCCUGGUGAUCUUAGAUGAUAUCUGGGGGAAACUUGAGUUGGGAGAAAUAGGAAUUCCUUACCGAGAUGAUCACAAGGGGUGCAAAGUGCUGCUGACUUCCCGGGAGCAUCAGGUUUUAUCUAAAGAUAUGCGUACUCAAAAGGAGUUCCAUCUUCAACAUUUAAGUGAAGAUGAAGCCUGGAAUUUAUUCAAGAAGACAGCAGGUGAUUCAGUGGAGAGGCCUGAACUGCGUCCCAUAGCAGUUGAUGUAGCUAAAAAAUGUGACGGUCUACCAGUUGCAAUUGUCACCAUUGCAAAUGCAUUAAGAGGUGAGAGUGUGCAUGUAUGGGAGAAUGCCUUGGAAGAACUGAGAAGGUCUGCACCAACAAACAUCAGAGGAGUGAGUAAAGACGUCUACUCAUGUCUGGAGCUGAGCUACAACCAUUUGGAAAGUGAUGAAGUAAAGUCCUUGUUUUUACUUUGUGGUGUUCUGGGGUUGGGAGAUAUUUACAUGGAUUUCUUGCUACUAUAUGCUAUGGGAUUGAAUUUGUUUAAAGGAUUCUUUUCAUGGGAGAAAGCAGCAAAUAAACUAAUCACACUGGUGGAAAAUCUGAAAGGCUCAAGCUUGUUGCUUGACGAUGAAGACAGAGGCAAUGAGAGAUUUUCGAGCUUGUUUUUCAAUGACGCGUUUGUCAGAAUGCAUGAUGUUGUUCGUGAUGUUGCCAUAUCAAUUGCAUCCAAAGAUCCUCAUCAAUUUGUGGUGAAAGAAGCGGUUGGAUUACAAGAAGAAUGGCAAUGGAUGAAUGAAUGCAGAAAUUGCACUCGUAUCUCUUUGAAAUGCAAAAACAUAGAUGAGCUUCCUCAAGGAUUGGUAUGUCCCAAACUUAAGUUCUUUUUAUUGUAUUCAGGUGAUUCUUACUUGAAAAUUCCAGACACCUUUUUCCAAGACACCAAAGAACUGACAGUUUUAGAUUUGUCUGGAGUGUCUCUCAAGCCAUCUCCUUCAUCGCUUGGUUUUCUUUUAAAUCUUCGCACAUUGUGUCUAAAUAGAUGCGUGCUCGAAGACAUAGCAGUAAUUGGACACCUGGAGAGACUACAAGUUCUUAGUUUGGCUUGCUCCCACAUUUAUCAGUUGCCAAAAGAAAUGAUGAAAUUGAGUGAUCUAAGGGUGUUGGAUUUGCGGUAUUGCUUCUCCCUCAAAGUAAUUCCACAAAAUCUUAUAUUCAGUCUAUCUCGAUUAGAGUAUUUGAGCAUGAAAGGAAGUGUUAAUAUUGAAUGGGAGGCAGAAGGAUUUAAUAGCGGAGAAAGAAUUAAUGCUUGCCUUUCUGAGCUGAAACACCUAUCCGGCUUGAGGACUUUGGAGUUAGAAGUAUCUAAUCCCAGUUUGCUUCCCGAAGAUGAUGUGCUCUUUGACAACUUGACAUUGACCAGAUAUUCAAUAGUAAUAGGUGAUUCUUGGAGGCCAUACGAUGAGGAGAAAGCCAUAGCAAGGUUGCCAAAUGAUUAUGAGUAUAAAGCCUCGAGAAGGUUGAGGCUGGAUGGGGUUAAAAGUCUUCAUGUGGUGAACCGCUUCUCCAAACUGUUGAAGAGAAGUCAAGUUGUACAGUUGUGGAGAUUGAAUGAUACUAAACAUGUGGUUUAUGAGUUAGACGAGGAUGGUUUUCCUCAAGUGAAGUAUCUCUGUAUCUGGAGCUGUCCUACCAUGCAAUACAUCCUUCAUUCCACUUCAGUGGAAUGGGUUCCACCACGUAAUACCUUCUGUAUGUUGGAGGAACUGUUUCUUACUUCCCUCAGUAACUUGGAGGCAGUAUGCCAUGGCCCAAUUCUGAUGGGGUCUUUUGGUAACUUAAGAAUUGUAAGAGUGAGUCAUUGUGAGAGGUUGAAAUAUGUCUUCUCUCUUCCCACACAACAUGGAAGGGAAUCAGCUUUUCCUCAACUGCAAUCCUUGUCACUGAGGGUUCUCCCAAAGCUCAUUAGCUUCUACACCACAAGAAGCAGCGGUAUCCCGGAGUCGGCGACAUUUUUCAAUCAACAGGUUGCAUUCCCUGCCUUGGAGUACUUACAUGUAGAAAAUCUGGAUAAUGUGAGAGCAUUAUGGCACAACCAACUUUCAGCAGAUUCCUUUUCCAAGCUAAAGCACUUGCAUGUAGCUUCCUGCAACAAAAUAUUGAAUGUUUUUCCCCUUUCCGUGGCGAAAGCCCUUGUGCAACUUGAGGACCUAUGCAUAUUAUCUUGUGAAGCAUUAGAGGUAAUUGUUGUCAAUGAAGAUGAAGAUGAAGAUGAAGAUGAAACAACACCUUUAUUCUUAUUCCCUAAACUAACCUCUUUUACACUCGAAUCCUUACACCAACUCAAAAGAUUUUAUUCGGGAAGGUUUGCUUCAAGAUGGCCACUUUUGAAGGAAUUAAAAGUGUGCAAUUGUGAUAAAGUGGAGAUACUCUUUCAAGAAAUAGGUUUGGAAGGUGAACUUGAUAACAAAAUUCAACAAUCACUCUUCUUGGUCGAAAAGGAAGCAUUCCCUAAUUUGGAAGAAUUGAGAUUGACGUUAAAGGGCACUGUGGAGAUAUGGCGGGGCCAAUUUUCAAGGGUGUCAUUUUCCAAACUAAGAGUGUUGAAUAUAACAAAGCAUCAUGGUAUUUUGGUUAUGAUUUCCUCAAACAUGGUUCAAAUAUUACAUAAUCUAGAACGACUAGAGGUGACAAAGUGUGAUUCAGUGAAUGAGGUUAUCCAAGUGGAAAGGCUUUCAAGUGAAGAAUUUCAUGUUGACACGCUUCCACGAUUAACUGAAAUACACCUCGAGGAUCUACCUAUGUUGAUGCAUUUAUUUGGAUUAAGCCCAUAUUUGCAAAGUGUUGAAACUCUAGAGAUGGUCAAUUGUAGGAGUUUGAUUAAUUUGGUAACACCCUCAAUGGCUAAAAGACUGGUGCAACUCAAAACACUUAUUAUAAAAGAAUGCCACAUGAUGAAAGAAAUAGUGGCAAAUGAGGGAGAUGAACCACCAAAUGAUGAGAUUGAUUUUGCUAGAUUAACAAGGUUGGAACUUGAUUGUUUACCAAAUCUAAAAAGUUUUUGCUCAGCAAGAUAUGCCUUCCGAUUCCCAUUCUUGGAAGAAAUAAGUAUGGCAGCAUGCCCUAAGAUGAAAUUUUUUUGCAAGGGAGUCUUAGACACACCAAGGCUAAAAUGUGUACAAAUGGGUGACCAUUCAGAAGUCUUAGACACACCAAGGCUACAAUGUGUACAAAUGGGUGAUCUUUUUUUCGAACAAUGUUGGGAAGGUGACCUGAAUACCACCAUACACAAGAUGUUCAUGGUACAGGACACCAUGCCACCAAGGAGACCUGCAUCUUCCCAAAACAAUCAGGCUAAUGAUGAUGUACCUCCAGUUGAGGGUUUGCCUCCCGUGAGUGCAGAAGGGAUCUAUAGGUAUCUUGGGACACUAGCUGGUUUAGUUGAACGCCAAGCUCGAGCUGUUGGGACUAAUGUUCAGGGACAGUCUUCAUCUUCUAGGGGUAGCUCUUUUGAUGACUUCAAGAAAUUGGGUCCUCCUUACUUUUCUGGUGCUACAGAUCCCACAGAGGCAGAGGCUUGGAUCCUUAAGAUGGAGAAAAUCUUUGGUGUCAUAGAUUGCUCUGAGGAGCAAAAAGCCUCUUAUGCAGCUUUUAUGUUAGAUAAAGAGGCAGAUCAUUGGUGGCGUAUGACUAGGAGACUUUUGGAGGAUCAGGGACCCAUAACAUGGAGACAAUUUAGGGAGGCUUUCUACAAGAAGUAUUUUCCUGACAGUGUUAGGCGGCAGAAGGUGGGAGAGUUUAUUCGUUUGGAACAGGGGGAUAUGACUGUGGCUCAGUAUGAGGCCAAAUUUACAGAGUUAUCACGUUUUUCCCCACAGUUGAUUGCUACAGAGGAGGAAAAGGCAUUAAAGUUUCAGGAUGGAUUGAAGCCUUAUUUGAAGAACAAGAUAUCUAUUCUGAAGCUUGGUGUCUAUUCAGAGGUUGUUGACAGAGCCCUUAUAGCAGAGAAAGAUAAUGAGGAGCUUCAUCAGUAUAGAGAACAGCAAAGGAAGCGAAAUAGGAGUGAUGGUGCUCAUGGUAAUCAAGCACAGCGAAGGUCUACAUCAGGAAGAAAUCAUAAUAAAGGGAAGGCAGCGCAGAAUUUAGAUGGGGCUUGUCCUACUUGUGGUAAGAAGCAUGGGGGUAGGACAUGCUAUAGAGAGACUGGAGCUUGCUUUGGUUGUGGGAAGCAAGGACAUUUGAUUAGAGAUUGUCCAGAGAAUAGGAAGUUCAUCACUGGGAAGCCUAAGGAGGAAAAUAAGGAGGAUAAACAGAAACCCAAAGCCCAAGGACGGGUGUUUGCUAUGACUCAUCGAGAUGCUCAGGCCACUUCUGAUGUGGUGACAGGUACUCUUCGAAUCCACACCUUAUUUGCUAGAGUCUUGAUUGAUCCUGGAUCAACACACUCUUUUGUUUCAGUAUCUUUUGCUGGUUUGUUGGGUUUGCCUGUUGCUAGCAUGGACUUUGAUUUGAUUGUUGCUACUCCUGUGGGAGAUUCUAUGGUGGCUAGUAGAAUGCUUAGAAAUUGUAUUGUGAUGAUUGGUUAUAGGGAAAUGCCAGUUGAUUUAAUACUCCUUGACCUUCAGGAUUUUGAUGUGAUUUUGGGGAUGGAUUGGUUAGCUUCCUACCAUGCCUCUGUUGACUGUUUUGAGAAAAGGGUGACGUUUAGUAUUCCUGGUCAGCCUAAGUUUAGCUUUGAAGGGAAGCAUGUGGACAGACCACUGCGUAUGAUCUCAGCCUUGCGAGCUAGUAGCUUGCUUAAGAAGGGUUGCCAAGGAUUUUUGGCUAGUGUGGUAAGUAAUGAAAGUGAUUUGAAGUUGGAAGACAUACCCAUAGUAAGGGAGUAUCCUGAUGUCUUUCCAGAGGAUUUGCCUGGCUUGCCACCAGAGAGAGAGGUGGAGUUCACUAUCGAUCUAGUACCAGGAACAGGUCCUAUGUCUAAGGCCCCAUACAGGAUGGCACCUGUGGAGCUUAAGGAGUUGAAAGUUCAGCUUCAGGAGUUAUUAGACAAGGGUUUUAUCAGGCCUAGUGUUUCACCUUGGGGAGCUCCUGUUCUAUUUGUAAAAAAGAAGGAUGGCUCAAUGAGACUUUGCAUUGACUAUAGGGAGUUGAAUAAGGUGACAGUGAGGAAUAAGUAUCCCCUUCCUCGGAUAGAUGAUUUGUUUGAUCAGCUACAAGGUGCUUGUAUGUUCUCCAAGAUAGAUCUUCCAUCGGGUUAUCACCAGUUGAGGGUUAGAGGGGAAGAUGUACCCAAGACUGCUUUUCGAACUAGGUAUGGGCACUAUGAGUUUCUUAUUAUGCCUUUUGGUUUGACUAAUGAACCUACUGCUUUUAUGGACUUGAUGAAUAGGGUAUUCAAACCCUAUUUAGAUCAGUUUGUGGUGGUUUUUAUAGAUGACAUCUUGGUUUACUCAAGAAGUAGAGAGGAGCAUGAGGGCCAUUUGAGUAUUGUAUUACAGACCCUCAGAGAUAAGCAGUUGUAUGCUAAACUGAAGAAGUGUGAGUUUUGGUUGGACCGAAUUUCUUUCCUUGGGCAUGUGGUAAGCAAUGAUGGCAUCUCAGUUGACCCUGGCAAGGUAGAUGCUGUAGCUAAUUGGAGAAGACCUAGUACUGUGAUUGAGAUUCGAAGUUUCUUGGGACUUGCUGGUUACUAUAGGCGGUUUAUAGAAGGGUUCUCUAAGAUUGCCCUACCUUUAACUAAGUUGACACAGAAGGGAGUUAAGUUUGAGUGGUCUGAUGAUUGUGAAUGUAGCUUCCAAGAGUUGAAGAAUAGAUUAGUGUCAGCUCCUAUUUUGACUAUCCCUUCAGGUUCAGGAGGAUUUGUGGUGUAUAGUGAUGCCUCUCAUCAGGGUUUGGGUUGUGUUCUUAUGCAGCAUGGGAGAGUUGUAGCUUAUGCUUCUAGACAGUUGAAGCCUUAUGAAAGGAACUACCCUACUCAUGAUUUGGAGUUAGCUGUUGUGGUUUUUGCACUUAAGAUCUGGAGACAUUUUCUGUUUGGUGAAACUUGUGAGAUAUUCAUAGAUCAUAAGAGUUUGAAGUAUUUAUUUUCCCAAAAGGAAUUGAACAUGAGACAGAGGAGGUGGAUUGAACUACUUAAGGACUAUGAUUGUAUUAUUCAGUAUCAUCCUGGGAAGGCGAAUGUUGUAGUUGAUGCCUUGAGUAGGAAGUCAGUUGGGUCUCUAGCAGCUAUUAGAGGUUGUCAAAGGCAGUUACUUGAAGAGUUGAGGAGUUUACAAGUCUACUUUCAAGUUAUGGGCUUAGGAGCACUUGUAGCAAAUUUCAGAGUACAACCAGACUUAGUUGGGAGAAUUAAGACCCUACAAAAGAAUGAUUCUCGAUUAGUGCAAGUUAUGGAGGAAGUUAAGAGGGGCAGUAAGCUUGAUUUUGUUUUGUCGGAUGAUGAGAUCUUGAGAUUUGGGACUAGACUUUGUGUCCCAAAUGAUGAAGACUUAAGGAGGGAGCUUUUAGAGGAAGCUCAUUGUUCCAAGUUUGCAAUCCACCCAGGAGGGACAAAGAUGUACAAGGAUUUGAGGCAAAACUAUUGGUGGUCAGGUAUGAAGCGUGAUAUUGCACAAUUUGUGGCUCAGUGUUUAGUGUGUCAACAGGUGAAGGCUGAACAUCAGCGACCAGCAGGGUCUUUACAGCCACUUGCUAUUCCUGAGUGGAAGUGGGAGCAUAUUACCAUGGAUUUUGUGAUAGGAUUGCCAAGAACCUUAGGGGGUAAUAAUGCUAUUUGGGUGAUUGUUGACCGGUUGACAAAGUCUGCUCACUUUUUGCCUAUGAAAGUCAACUUUUCUUUAGAUAUUUUAGCUUCUCUUUAUGUGAAGGAGAUUGUGAGAAUGCAUGGAGUACCAGUUUCUAUAGUGUCUGACAGAGAUCCUCGUUUCACUUCUAGAUUCUGGCAUAGUCUACAAAAAGCUUUGGGCACUAAGUUGAGUUUUAGUACUGCUUUCCAUCCUCAAACUGAUGGCCAAUCAGAAAGGGUAAUUCAGGUUUUGGAAGACUUGUUGAGAGCUUGUAUUUUGGACCUGCAAGGUAAUUGGGAUGAUCAUUUACCUUUAGUAGAGUUUGCCUAUAACAAUAGUUUUCAAGCUAGCAUUGGGAUGGCACCUUUUGAGGCAUUGUAUGGUAGGAAAUGUCGAUCUCCUAUCUGUUGGAAUGAUGUUGGAGAAAGGAAACUUUUGGGGCCUGAACUUGUGCAGUUGACUGUUGAAAAAGUUGCUUUGAUUAAAGAAAGAUUAAAAGCAGCUCAAAGUAGACAUAAGAGUUAUGCUGAUCAUCGUAGGCGAGAUUUGGAGUUUGAGGUAGGUGAUCAUGUGUUCUUGAAAGUUUCACCUAUGAAGUCUGUGAUGAGAUUUGGGAGAAAAGGAAAACUUAGUCCUCGUUUUGUGGGUCCGUUUGAAAUAUUAGAAAGAGUAGGCACUUUGGCAUAUAAAGUAGCCUUGCCCCCAAGUCUAUCUAAGAUUCAUAAUGUUUUCCAUGUUUCAACCUUGAGGAAGUAUAUUUAUGAUCCCUCUCAUAUUGUGGAGUUGGAGCCUAUUCAAAUUUCUGAGGACUUGAACUAUGAAGAGGUACCCGUUCAAAUUGUGGAUGUGAUGGAUAAGGUACUGCGACAUGCUGUUGUCAAAUUGGUAAAGGUUCAAUGGAGCAACCAUAGUGUUCGUGAAGCUACUUGGGAGUUAGAAGAAGAGAUGAGAGAAAAACAUCCUCAAUUAUUUCAAGACUCAGAAUUCCAGAGAACGUAAGGUUGGAGUCAGAUUUCAGGGUUAAAUAACAGAUCUCUAUAGGUGAAGAGUAGAUUAUAUUUUUCAGAAUUAUUCUUCUCCCAAGCUUUCAAGGACUUCUUUUGAGGUACUCUUAGUUCGGGUGAGGAGUGAUGGCUAGGCUGAGGAAUGGUCAUCAUUAGGAUUUGACUUAGGAUUUUAUGUUGGAUUUUGUUUAACUAUUAGUUAUGUUCAUUUGAAUCUUUUGAUAAUUGGAAGUUAUUUGGAAAUUGAAUUUUGAGGAUUUUAGAUUUUGUUCCGCUACUCUGAACAGGUAUUUGGUAAUUGGUAACAUUCAGUUACAAUAUGAUUGUUUGGGUC